GGAUCAAUGAUUCUCAUUGUAAUCUGAGCAAAAUGAGUGACAAAGUGACUUCUGUGAACUGAGGUCC
rnacentral:snoRNA from 1 species